rnacentral:rRNA from 1 species
CGACGCUUAUGCGUUGUUGGGUAGGGGAGCGUUCUGUAAGCCUGUGAAGGUGUGCUGUGAGGCAUGCUGGAGGUAUCAGAAGUGCGAAUGCUGACAUAAGUAACGAUAAAGCGGGUGAAAAGCCCGCUCGCCGGAAGACCAAGGGUUCCUGUCCAACGUUAAUCGGGGCAGGGUGAGUCGACCCCUAAGGCGAGGCCGAAAGGCGUAGUCGAUGGGAAACAGGUUAAUAUUCCUGUACUUGGUGUUACUGCGAAGGGGGGACGGAGAAGGCUAUGUUGGCCGGGCGACGGUUGUCCCGGUUUAAGCGUGUAGGCUGGUUUUCCAGGCAAAUCCGGAAAACCAAGGCUGAGGCGUGAUGA